rnacentral:tRNA from 1 species
GUUUUAAUAGUUUAAAUAUAAAAUAUUGGUCUUGUAAACCAAAGUUAAAAUUUUUUUUUAAAACU